GACGAACGCUGGCGGCGUGCCUAAUACAUGCAAGUUGAGCGCUGAAGGUUGGUACUUGUACCUACUGGAUGAGCAGCGAACGGGUGAGUAACGCGUGGGGAAUCUGCCUUUGAGCGGGGGACAACAUUUGGAAACGAAUGCUAAUACCGCAUAAAAACUUUAAACACAAGUUUUAAGUUUGAAAGAUGCAAUUGCAUCACUCAAAGAUGAUCCCGCGUUGUAUUAGCUAGUUGGUGAGGUAAAGGCUCACCAAGGCGAUGAUACAUAGCCGACCUGAGAGGGUGAUCGGGCACAUUGGGACUGAGACACGGCCCAAACUGCUACGGGAGGCAGCAGUAGGGAAUAUUCGGCAAUAGACGAAAGUCUGACCGAGCAACGCCGCGUGAGUGAAGAAGGUUGUCGGAUCGUAAAACUCUGUUGGUAGAGAAGAACGUUGGUGAGAGUGGAAAGCUCAUCAAGUGACGGUAACUACCCAGAAAGGGACGGCUAACUACGUG
rnacentral:rRNA from 1 species